ACAACAGAGGCACCUAGGGAAGUCGCUGGCCUUUUAAAGGUCGUGACGUCCAAAGUGCUUUCUUACAUCCAUCUUACCCAUUUGUGCAUCACCGCGUGGGGCUCCCUAUUCGGGGGUCUUGCGUUUUUACAUCAGACACCAUUUUAAUGCAUGUAUAGAAUGUCUUUGCGAUCACACGCAAUCAAUAUAACUUUCAACAACGGAUCUCUUGGCUCUCGCAUCGAUGAAGAACGCAGCGAAAUGCGAUACGUAAUGUGAAUUGCAGAAUUCAGUGAAUCAUCGAAUCUUUGAACGCACCUUGCGCCCCUUGGUAUUCCGAGGGGCACACCCGUUUGAGUGUCGUGAACACCCUCAAUCUUCUUGGUUUCUCAACCAGGAAGGCUUGGACUUUGGAGGUUUUCUUGCCGGCUUUCAUUCAAAGUCGGCUCCUCCUAAAUGAAUUAGUGGGACCUGCUUUGCUGAUCCUUGACGUGAUAAGUAUGCUUCUACGUCUUGGUUUUUGCAAUGUCACCUGCUUCAAACCGUCUUUUAAACCAAAGACAAUGUUCGAGCUGUGGCUCGACCUCACUGAUCUUGACCUCAAAUCGGGUGAGACUACCCGUUGAACUUAAGCAUAUCAAUAAG
rnacentral:rRNA from 1 species